rnacentral:rRNA from 1 species
UACGGAGGGUGCAAGCGUUAAUCGGAUUUACUGGGCGUAAAGCGCGCGUAGGUGGUUUGGUAAGCGGGAUGUGAAAGCCCCGGGCUUAACCUGGGAAUGGCAUUCCGAACUGCUAGGCUAGAGUAUGGUAGAGGGUAGUGGAAUUUCCUGUGUAGCGGUGAAAUGCGUAGAUAUAGGAAGGAACACCAGUGGCGAAGGCGGCUACCUGGACCAAUACUGACACUGAGGUGCGAAAGCGUGGGGAGCAAACAGG